rnacentral:rRNA from 1 species
AUUGAACGCUGGCGGAAUGCUUUACACAUGCAAGUCGAGCGGCAGCGCGGCCUUCGGGCUGGCGGCGAGCGGCGAACGGGUGAGUAAUGCAUCGGAACAUGCCCAGUCGUGGGGGAUAACACUUCGAAAGAAGUGCUAAUACCGCAUACGUCCUGAGGGGGAAAGCGGGGGAUCGCAAGACCUCGCGCGAUUGGAGUGGCCGAUGUCAGAUUAGCUAGUUGGUGGGGUAAAGGCCUACCAAGGCGGCGAUCUGUAGCUGGUCUGAGAGGCUGAUCAGCCACACUGGGACUGAGACACGGCCCAGACUACUACGGGAGGCAGCAGUGGGGAAUUUUGGACAAUGGGGGCAACCCUGAUCCAGCCAUCCCGCGUGAGUGAAGAAGGCCUUCGGGUUGUAAAGCUCUUUCGGCAGGAACGAAACGGUGGGCUCUAACAUAGUCCGCUAAUGACGGUACCUGAAGAAGAAGCACCGGCUAACUACGUG